GCAAUCCACACCAAAGCUUCAAUUUAUGGAUAGUCCUGGAAAGAAUUAAAUGUCUGCAUGUUGAAUAAAAUAUACUAUUGAGAGGUGAAGCCAGCUGGAAUUCUGGGUCAGAUGGAGACUUGGAGAACUUUUGUGUCUAGCUAAAGGAUUGUAAAUGCACCAAUCAGCACUCUGUGUCUAGCUAAAGGAUUGUAAAUGCACCAAUCAGCACUCUGUAAAAUGGACCAAUCAACACUCUGUAAAAUGGACCAAUCAGCAUUCUGUAAAAUGGACCAAUCCACACUCUGUAAAAUGGACCAAUCAGCAGGAUGUGGGCAGGGCCAAAUAAGGGAAUAAAAGCUGGCCACCCGAGCCAGUGGUGGCAACUCGCUCGGGUCCCCUUCCACUCUGUGGAAGCUUUGUUCUUUCAUGCGUCACAAUAAAUCUUGCUGCUGCUCACUGUUUGGCUUUGCACUACCUUUAAGAGCUGUAACACUCACUGCAAAAGUCUGCGGCUUCACUCCUGAAGUCAGUGAGACCACGAACCCACCAGAAGGAAGAAACUCCAGACACAUCUGAACAUUUGAAGGAACAAACUCUGGACACACCAUCUUUAAGAGUUGUAACACUCACCAAAAAGGUCUGCAGCUUCAUUCUUGAAGUCAGUGAGACCAAGAACCCACCAGAAGGAAUAAAUUCCGGACACAUUUUGGCUACCAUGGAGGGACAAUCACCAAGCGGAUCAAGGCCAUCAAGCUACAGAUGGUGUUACAAAUGGAACCCCAAAUGAGCUCAACUAACAACUUCUACUGAGGACCCCUGGACUCACCCGCUGGCCCUUUCACUGACCUAAAGAGUUCCCCUCUGGAGGACACUACAACUGCAGGGCCCCUCCUUUGCCCCUAUCCAGCAGGAAGUAGCUAAAGCGGUCAUCACCCAGAUCCCAACAGCAGCUGGGGUCCCCUGUUUAGAGGGGGGAUUGAAAGGUGAAGCCAGUGGGGCUUCUGGGUCAAGUGGGGACUUGGAGAACUUUUGUGUCUAGCUGAAGGAUUGUAAAUGCACCAAUCAGCACUCUGUGUCUAGCUAAAGGAUUGCAAACGCACCAAUCAGCACUCUGUAAAAUGGAUCAAUCAGUGCUCUGUAAAAUGGACAAAUCAGCAGGAUGUGGGUGGGGACAAAUAAGGGAAUAAAAGCUGGCCACCCGAGCCAGCAGCGGCAACCCACUUGGGUUCCCUUCCACGUGGAAGCUUUGUUCUUUUGCUCUUCACAAUAAAUCUUGCUGCUGCUCACUGUUUGGGUCUGCACUACCUUUAAGAGCUGUAACACUCACUUUGAAGGUCUGUGGUCUCACUCCUGAAGUCAGCAAGACCAUGAACCCACCAGAAGGAAGAAACUUUGGACACAUCUGAACAUCUGAAAGAACAAACUCCAGACACACCAUCUUUAAGAGCUGUAACACUCACUGCAAAGGUCCGCAGCUUCAUUCUUCAAGUUGGAGAGACCAAGAACCCACCAGAAGGAAUAAAUUCCAGACACACUAUUUGCAGAGGAAAAAAUUCGUGCGAUCUUUUUGUCUUAUUACUUACUUCAGUGAGCUUAUAUUUGAAUUAUUAAGAAACAUAAGAAAAAAAGUGAAAAAGAUCCCAAGUAUGAAACAAUAUAGCAAAGUUUGGUGAAGUUCAGGUGAGAGGCAGUUUGGUGAGAACUGAAAUUGUCAUAAAAGAAGUUUUUUUAUUCAUGCUGGUUAUUUCAUUAUUAGAGAGGAAGUUGAUAACACUGGGGAUCUGGGGUCAAGUUUGUCAGAAGAUUUCUAUUACUCCUAUUUUUUCAGAG
rnacentral:lncRNA from 1 species